rnacentral:tRNA from 1 species
GGGGGUGUAGCUCAGCUGGGNNCUUGAAUGGCAUUCAAGAGGCCAGCAGUUCGAUCCUGCUCAUCUCCACCA